UGCCUAGGAAUCUGCCUGGUAGUGGGGGAUAACGUCCGGAAACGGACGCUAAUACCGCAUACGUCCUACGGGAGAAAGCAGGGGACCUUCGGGCCUUGCGCUAUCAGAUGAGCCUAGGUCGGAUUAGCUAGUUGGUGGGGUAAUGGCUCACCAAGGCGACGAUCCGUAACUGGUCUGAGAGGAUGAUCAGUCACACUGGAACUGAGACACGGUCCAGACUCCUACGGGAGGCAGCAGUGGGGAAUAUUGGACAAUGGGCGAAAGCCUGAUCCAGCCAUGCCGCGUGUGUGAAGAAGGUCUUCGGAUUGUAAAGCACUUUAAGUUGGGAGGAAGGGCAGUAAAUUAAUACUUUGCUGUUUUGACGUUACCGACAGAAUAAGCACCGGCUAACUCUGUGCCAGCAGCCGCGGUAAUACAGAGGGUGCAAGCGUUAAUCGGAAUUACUGGGCGUAAAGCGCGCGUAGGUGGUUCGUUAAGUUGGAUGUGAAAUCCCCGGGCUCAACCUGGGAACUGCAUUCAAAACUGACGAGCUAGAGUAUGGUAGAGGGUGGUGGAAUUUCCUGUGUAG
rnacentral:rRNA from 1 species